UUAGUACUCCCUCAGUUCGAAAUUACUUGUCACAAAAAUGAAUGUAUCUACAACUAAAAUACAUCUAGAUACAUUCAUUUUUUGGACGAGUAAUUUCAAACGGAGGGAGUAUCUU
rnacentral:pre_miRNA from 1 species